rnacentral:rRNA from 1 species
GGUUAAGCGACUAAGCGUACACGGUGGAUGCCCUGGCAGUCAGAGGCGAUGAAGGACGUGCUAAUCUGCGAUAAGCGUCGGUAAGGUGAUAUGAACCGUUAUAACCGGCGAUUUCCGAAUGGGGAAACCCAGUGUGAUUCGUCACACUAUCAUUAACUGAAUCCAUAGGUUAAUGAGGCGAACCGGGGGAACUGAAACAUCUAAGUACCCCGAGGAAAAGAAAUCAACCGAGAUUCCCCCAGUAGCGGCGAGCGAACGGGGAGCAGCCCAGAGCCUGAAUCAGUGUGUGUGUUAGUGGAAGCGUCUGGAAAGGCGCGCGAUACAGGGUGACAGCCCCGUACACAAAAAUGCACAUGCUGUGAGCUCGAUGAGUAGGGCGGGACACGUGGUAUCCUGUCUGAAUAUGGGGGGACCAUCCUCCAAGGCUAAAUACUCCUGACUGACCGAUAGUGAACCAGUACCGUGAGGGAAAGGCGAAAAGAACCCCGGCGAGGGGAGUGAAAAAGAACCUGAAACCGUGUACGUACAAGCAGUGGGAGCACGCUUAGGCGUGUGACUGCGUACCUUUUGUAUAAUGGGUCAGCGACUUAUAUUCUGUAGCAAGGUUAACCGAAUAGGGGAGCCGAAGGGAAACCGAGUCUUAACUGGGCGUUAAGUUGCAGGGUAUAGACCCGAAACCCGGUGAUCUAGCCAUGGGCAGGUUGAAGGUUGGGUAACACUAACUGGAGGACCGAACCGACUAAUGUUGAAAAAUUAGCGGAUGACUUGUGGCUGGGGGUGAAAGGCCAAUCAAACCGGGAGAUAGCUGGUUCUCCCCGAAAGCUAUUUAGGUAGCGCCUCGUGAAUUCAUCUCCGGGGGUAGAGCACUGUUUCGGCAAGGGGGUCAUCCCGA